rnacentral:lncRNA from 1 species
AGUAGGAAAAUCUGAUUUUUAACAGCUGAUUUCUAUCUCUUUUCCAGUAUAUAAACAGACCAAAAAGGAAAGAAGCCACAAAAAUAGGAGAUAGAAGCCAAACCUCUGUCUUCAACCUCUAGAAGAACAAAAGCAAUAAAAAGAAGAAGAUUCACAUCUACUAACAAGAAAGAAUUGGAAGAAUUCAAAGUUUUUAGAAUAAAAAUUCAGAAAUCCUAUUUCCCUUUGAACAGAGGAUACUUGAACUGCAAAUACUACUCCCAGAGAUUCAAGUACAUCAACAAUAUAUGUUAG